rnacentral:rRNA from 1 species
AUUGAACGCUGGCGGCAGGCCUAACACAUGCAAGUCGAGCGGAUGAAGGGAGCUUGCUCCUGGAUUCAGCGGCGGACGGGUGAGUAAUGCCUAGGAAUCUGCCUGGUAGUGGGGGAUAACGUCCGGAAACGGGCGCUAAUACCGCAUACGUCCUGAGGGAGAAAGUGGGGGAUCUUCGGACCUCACGCUAUCAGAUGAGCCUAGGUCGGAUUAGCUAGUUGGUGGGGUAAAGGCCUACCAAGGCGACGAUCCGUAACUGGUCUGAGAGGAAGAUCAGUCACACUGGAACUGAGACACGGUCCAGACUCCUACGGGAGGCAGCAGUGGGGAAUAUUGGACAAUGGGCGAAAGCCUGAUCCAGCCAUGCCGCGUGUGUGAAGAAGGUCUUCGGAUUGUAAAGCACUUUAAGUUGGGAGGAAGGGCAGUAAGUUAAUACCUUGCUGUUUUGACGUUACCAACAGAAUAAGCACCGGCUAACUUCG